GUUUGGGUAGCUCAGUUGGUUAGCGAAAAGGACUGAAAAUCCUUGUGUCGGUGGUUCAAGUCCACUCCCAGACA
rnacentral:tRNA from 1 species